rnacentral:rRNA from 1 species
GACGAACGCUGGCGGCGUGCUUAACACAUGCAAGUCGAACGGAAAGGCCCUGCUUUUGUGGGGUGCUCGAGUGGCGAACGGGUGAGUAACACGUGAGUAACCUGCCCUUGACUUUGGGAUAACUUCAGGAAACUGGGGCUAAUACCGGAUAGGAGCUCCUGCUGCAUGGUGGGGGUUGGAAAGUUUCGGCGGUUGGGGAUGGACUCGCGGCUUAUCAGCUUGUUGGUGGGGUAGUGGCUUACCAAGGCUUUGACGGGUAGCCGGCCUGAGAGGGUGACCGGCCACAUUGGGACUGAGAUACGGACCAGACUCCUACGGGAGGCAGCAGUGGGGAAUAUUGCACAAUGGGCGGAAGCCUGAUGCAGCAACGCCGCGUGCGGGAUGACGGCCUUCGGGUUGUAAACCGCUUUCGCCUGUGACGAAGCGUGAGUGACGGUAAUGGAUAAAGAAGCACCGGCUAACUACGUG